GAUGAACGCUGGCGGCGUGCCUAAUACAUGCAAGUCGAACGAACGGACGAGGGGCUUGCUCCUCUGACGUUAGCGGCGGACGUGUGAGUAACACGUGGAUAACCUCCCUAUAAGACUGGGAUAACUUCGAGAAGCCUGCUCUAAUACCGUAUAAUAUCUAGAACCGCAUGGUUCGAUGGUAAAAGACGGUUUUGCUUUCACUUAUAGAUGGAUCCGCGCCGCAUUAUCUAGUUGGUAAGGUAACGGCUUACCACGGCAACGAUGCGUAGCCGCCACGAGAGGGAGGAUGGCCACACUGGAAGUGAGACAGGGCCCAGACACCUACGGGAGGAAGCGGUAGGGAAUCCUACGCAAGGGAGGAAAGCGUGAUGGAGCAAAGCGGCGUGAGCGAUGAAGGUCUGCGGAUGGGAAAACUAUGUUAUUAGGGAAGAACAAAUGUGUAAGUAACGAGGAACGUAUUGACGGUACUCAACAAGAAAGCGACGGCUAACUACGUG
rnacentral:rRNA from 1 species